rnacentral:misc_RNA from 1 species
CCGUGGGGAUUCGUCCCCAUUGAGAUAGCACCCUUUGUUUAUGAGUACCGUUUGUUUCCUCGGUGGGCUUGCCUGCCGCUAGGACCCCCCAAAAACCUUUGCAGUAGCAGUAUCUUCAGUUAAAAACAAAAUAUUA